UAUCACUUUAAUUAUUUUUUAAUUUUUAUUGUUUGAUAUUUUUUCUUAAUUAUAUUAUUUUUCAAAAUAAUAUCUGCCAAGAAGAUUGUUCUCUUCUUUAUUUUAUUGAAAUUUGACAAACCCAUGUUUUGUUUUUUAGAUGCUCUUCUUCUCCGUCCCUCAACACCAAAAUUCUGGCGGACGCUCUUCAUCUCCAUCAAUCCGAGCUGAUCCUUCAAGUUCAGUAAAAUAUAUUUAAAUUUUUCAUUUUUAUAUUCUUCAACCAUAUGAGUAUACUUUAGAUUUUUUAUUUUUAUAUUCUUCAACCAUAU
rnacentral:lncRNA from 1 species